AUACGGAGGAUCCGAGCGUUAUCCGGAUUUAUUGGGUUUAAAGGGUGCGCAGGCGGUAGAUUAAGUCGGCGGUGAAAUUUUGCAGCUCAACUGUAAAAGUGCCUUCGAAACUGGUUUCCUUGAGUGUGGAUGAAGUAGGCGGAAAUUGUGGUGUAGCGGUGAAAUGCAUAGAUAUAACGAGGAACUCCGAUUGCGCAGGCAGCUUACUAAACUACUACUGACGCUCAGGCACGAAGGCGUGGGGAUCAAACAGGAUUAGAUACCCUUGUAGUCCACGUAGUAAACGAUGAUUACUAGCUGUUUGCGAUACAAUGUAAGCGGCUGAGCGAAAGCAUUAAGUAAUCACCCUGGGGAGUACGUUCGCAAGAAUGAAACUCAAAUGAAUUCACAGGG
rnacentral:rRNA from 1 species